rnacentral:rRNA from 1 species
GUAGGGUGCGAGCGUUGUCCGGGAAUUACUGGGGCGUAAAGAGCUCGUAGGUGGUUUGUCGCGUCGGUUUGUGUAAGCCCGCAGCUUAACUGCGGGGACUGCAGGCGAUACGGGCAUAACUUGAGUGCUGUAGGGGAGACUGGAAUUCCUGGUGUAGCGGUGGAAUGCGCAGAUAUCAGGAGGAACACCGAUGGCGAAGGCAGGUCUCUGGGCAGUAACUGACGCUGAGGAGCGAAAGCAUGGGGAGCGAACAGGAUUAGAUACCCUGGUAGUCCAUGCCGUAAACGGUGGGCGCUAGGUGUGAGUCCCUUCCACGGGGUUCGUGCCGUAGCUAACGCAUUAAGCGCCCCGCCUGGGGAGUACGGCCGCAAGGCUA